UACGUAGGUGCAAGCGUUGCUCGGAAUCACUGGGCUUAAAGGGUGCGUAGGCGGCUUGGUAAGUUGGGUGUGAAAGCCCCGGGCUCAGCCCGGGAAGGGCACUCGAAACUGCCGAGCUAGAGUGCCGGAGGGGAGAGUGGAAUUCCUGGUGUAGCGGUGAAAUGCGUAGAUAUCAGGAGGAAUACCGGUGGCGAAAGCGACUCUCUGGACGGCAACUGACGCUGAGGCACGAAAGCGUGGGGAGCAAACAGG
rnacentral:rRNA from 1 species